AUAAUGGGUCAGCGACUUAUAUUCUGUAGCAAGGUUAACCGAAUAGGGGAGCCGAAGGGAAACCGAGUCUUAACUGGGCGUUAAGUUGCAGGGUAUAGACCCGAAACCCGGUGAUCUAGCCAUGGGCAGGUUGAAGGUUGGGUAACACUAACUGGAGGACCGAACCGACUAAUGUUGAAAAAUUAGCGGAUGACUUGUGGCUGGGGGUGAAAGGCCAAUCAAACCGGGAGAUAGCUGGUUCUCCCCGAAAGCUAUUUAGGUAGCGCCUCGUGAAUUCAUCUCCGGGGGUAGAGCACUGUU
rnacentral:rRNA from 1 species